AUUGAACGCUGGCGGAAUGCUUUACACAUGCAAGUCGAACGGUAGAGGGGGCAACCCCUCGAGAGUGGCGAACGGGUGAGUAAUAUAUCGGAACGUGCCCAGUCGUGGGGGAUAACGUAGCGAAAGUUACGCUAAUACCGCAUACGAUCUAAGGAUGAAAGCGGGGGAUCGCAAGACCUCGCGCGAUUGCAGCGGCCGAUAUCAGAUUAGGUAGUUGGUGAGGUAAAGGCUCACCAAGCCAACGAUCUGUAGCUAGUCUGAGAGGACGACCAGCCACACUGGAACUGAGACACGGUCCAGACUCCUACGGGAGGCAGCAGUGGGGAAUUUUGGACAAUGGACGCAAGUCUGAUCCAGCCAUUCCGCGUGCAGGAUGAAGGCCCUCGGGUUGUAAACUGCUUUUGUACGGAACGAAAAGGUCUCUCUUAAUACGGGGGACUCAUGACGGUACCGUAAGAAUAAGCACCGGCUAACUACGUGCCAGCCGCCGCCGUAA
rnacentral:rRNA from 1 species